rnacentral:piRNA from 1 species
UGAUGUACGUUUAUGCAGAGGAGUUGUAA